rnacentral:sRNA from 1 species
GGAGAAAUUCUGUUAAAAAGUGAUUUCUAUAAUGUCAGUUUCAGUUAUUUUUAAAUUCAUAAAUUUGUUUCUUCUCUUUCCUGUUAACUAGUCUCUAAUGAAAAACAAUUACAGAAAAUAAAGCUGCAUUAGAAUUGAAAUGAAAUCCAGUUUAACAUCAGAAGCUUUCUGGCCUUUUGGCUUAAAGGAUAAGUCAUUUAAGCCAUGGUGGUUUGGCCAUUGUUGAAGUCUAGGACACAGCCUGUUCCAACCUCAUCAUGAUACCACCACCAGUGGGUGCCAGUUUCCCUGGUUUCACUUAAAAACAUGAUCCUUUCCAGUGAAAAUUCCAGAAUCAUGCAUUUCUUUACCUAAUAUGUGGUAGUGUUGUAUACUUACCAGCAGAGGGCAGCUUAGUCUUCAGAAAAGAAAUGAACUUGAAAGUUUCAACCCUCUGACAUGUGGGUUCAGCUUAUUUUUUUCUUUGUUCAGUAUGGAGACUCUCUUACUUCUGCUUUUUUUCUUUUCUCUUCUAAUUUUUCGCUUCAGAAUUCUGGUUUCUCAAUGCAUAAACUGAAGUAAUUUCUUCCAUUCUACUUUUCUCUGCCCCAGGCUUGAGAUAGAACUAGGGAGCCCAGUGAGGCCUUUUCUUUCCUAAAUUAACAGUUAGGCAUCUGUGCAUAAAUGCUACCUUUGAACUAUGUGAUUUAAGAUAAUGUGCAGAAUGUACUUCUCUGGUCUUUCAGGUUGCUUGCAUAACUAUGUACUUGGUUGAACUUGUAAUUCUUGCUGACAACAGUCCUGCUGUUUUCCAGUAAGGUUCGUGAUCCUCGGGCCAAUUUUGAUCAGUCCCUACGUGUACUGAAACAUGCCAAGAAGGUUCAGCCUGAUGUUAUUUCUAAAACAUCUAUAAUGUUGGGUUUAGGCGAGAAUGAUGAGCAAGUAUAUGCAACAAUGAAAGCACUUCGUGAGGCAGAUGUAGACUGCUUGACUUUAGGACAAUAUAUGCAGCCAACAAGGCGUCACCUUAAGGUUGAAGAAUAUAUUACUCCUGAAAAAUUCAAAUACUGGGAAAAAGUAGGAAAUGAACUUGGAUUUCAUUAUACUGCAAGUGGCCCUUUGGUGCGUUCUUCAUAUAAAGCAGGUAAGUUAGAUUGUGGGGCAUGGUUUCAUUUAGGCCAUUAACUUUCCACAUUAAGUUCUACCACCAGUCACUAAAACUCUUGACAAAUUCUAAUACCUUUGGUGGUCUUGGUAGAGGGCGUAGUUUUUUUUCUGGAACAUCCUUAGGAGCUUUGCUCCAUGGGGAUCAUAUUAAGAAAAGUUUCUCUUAAUCUUUUGUUUCUUAAACAAAUUCAGCCCCCUGCUUUGUAACUCAGCUACUAUAGUAAAAGCAGAAACAAUUAGUUUAUUAAUUUUUUCUAUGUGUAGAUUUCAGUAGUAGGUUAUUCAGAAAUGACAGAGCAUGUCAAGCAUCUAAUAGGGUUUUCUGAGAAAUACAUAUUUAUUUGGAAAUGAUGCCAGCUGCAUCUCCAGACUCAGUUUCAAUCAGUUUAAGCACUGAAAAGUAUCUAUUUGAUAGCAU